rnacentral:rRNA from 1 species
UACGGAGGGUGCAAGCGUUAUCCGGAUUUACUGGGUUUAAAGGGUGCGUAGGCGGGCUUUUAGGUCAGUGGUGAAAUCUCCGGGCUCAACCCGGAAAUUGCCAUUGAUACUAUUAGUCUUGAAUUAAGUUGAGGUGGGCGGAAUGUGUCAUGUAGCGGUGAAAUGCUUAGAUAUGACACAGAACACCGAUUGCGAAGGCAGCUCGCUAAACUUAUAUUGACGCUGAGGCCCGAAAGCGUGGGGAUCAAACAGG